GACGAACGCUGGCGGCGUGCUUAACACAUGCAAGUCGAACGGAAAGGCCCUGCUUUUGUGGGGUGCUCGAGUGGCGAACGGGUGAGUAACACGUGAGUAACCUGCCCUUGACUUUGGGAUAACUUCAGGAAACUGGGGCUAAUACCGGAUAUGAGCUCCUGCUGCAUGGUGGGGGGUGGAAAGUUUCGGCGGUGGGGGAUGGUCUCGCGGCUUAUCAGCUUGUUUGUGGGGUAGUGGCUUACCAAGGCUUUGACGGGUAGCCGGCAUGAGAGGGUGACCGGCCACAUUGGGACUGAGAUACGGCCCAGAAUCCUACGGGAGGCAGCAGUGGGGAAUAUUGCACAAUGGGCGGAAGCCUGAUGCAGCAACGCCGCGUGCGGGAUGACGGCCUUCGGGUUGUAAACCACUUUCGCCUGUGACGAAGCGUGAGUGACGGUAAUGGGUAAAGAAGCACCGGCUAACUACGUG
rnacentral:rRNA from 1 species